GCCAAUGAAAUGUAAAGUUUUAAGAACAUUUUAAAUAAUUUUACAAAGAGACUCAGCGACUACUAACUACAACUACUGUUGAAGCAUAUGGAAACAAAUUUGGUGUGGACAUGCAUGUUUAUUUAAUUAAUUUCAUAUGUGCUCGCAAUACGGGUAUGCAUAUAUUCUUCAAACCAGACUACUGUAAAUGAGCAAGUGCUACGAAUCUAGAACACUUUUUUUGCAUACUGCAACUUGUUUUUACUUUCUCACCUGUCCAUCGCCAACUUCGCCUGGUCUCAAUAACUGUAAUUAGUGCAUGAUCAAAAACACAAAUUAAAAACUUUAAACAAUCAAAGUUGGGCUUUUAUGUAGAUUUGUAUAAAAGUGUUCUUUGUGUGUGGUAGUGCUUUGUUCAAGCCUCAAAGUCAAAAACUAAAAACAUUUGUAAUACGAAAAGACAUAAUUUUGUUCAGUGCAUCUUCCAAAUUGUUUUACUACCCGAAGCAUUAUAAAAAAUCGUGAAAAUUGAUCCCGUGACCUUGAUCUUUGUGCGGGCCUCCGACGCUUCCUUCUGGGUGUUACAAACUUCGUGACAAACUUAAUAUACCCUGUUUAGGGUAUAAAAAACGAUUGAAAGACGCAUAUCAUUCGUGCUCGUACCAUCGUAAAGGAGGUUCGUAAAACAAGAAGCAUUGGAAAUUAGAAUGAAUUGGAAAUAGCAGCAGCAGCAGUGUCAUCAGGAGCAGCAAAUAUCAAUUUUUUAAUUAUAUCACUAUUUUUAUUAAUCUUUGCUUUCAGAGUAAAUUCUAUUUGUAUUUAAUAUACAGUGGCGGACAAAAGUCUACAUGCACCCCCUGUUUUCUUCGAUGUGAGAGUACAAAAAGUUUUUACAAAAAUGUAUUUAUACAGUUUUAUUCUAAUAUUUAUUAUAAUAGCAGUUAACUAAAAAAGUUCAUUAUUUAACAUAAAACAACAAAUUUAUGGAAGAAAAACUCAAAAAUUGCUUUGACAAAAGUCUACAUACAGUUCAAAUCUCAUACUUUGUACAUUGUUAUAUUAACAGUAAGGUAACGUUAGCCUUUUCUUUUAUUUCAAUAUGUUUAUUGUUUGAUAUUUAUUGAAUUUAGUUGUGGUUUAAACACUUAAAUAGCUAUAAUGGCUCCGCGAAAUGAAAUAUCAAUUGAUGUAAGAAAUUUGGUGAUAAAAGAAAGAAAAGAAAAAAAAUCAUAUGGUGAAAUUUCUAAAAUUUUAAACUUGAGUCGAGCAACAGUACAGACAAUUCUAAAAAACUUUAAAAAUAAUGGUUCCAACGAAAAUUAACCGCGCAGUAGACCCCCAAAAAAACAAUCUCGUAGAUACGUCAGCCUGAUUCUCAACGAAGUAGACCAAAAUCCAAAAGUAAAUGCUCCAAAUAUAGCCGAACGAGUACGUCACAAAUGAGUAUCCAACCAAGAACAAUAAAAAAAAAACUCUAAACGAUAACGGAUUCCACAGUAGAACACCACGGAAGAAACCUUUUAUUUCUGAAAAAAUCGGAAAAUUCGUUUAAAGUUCGCCAAAAAACACAAAGAAAAGGAAAUGGAUUUUUGGAAAAAAGUUUCAUUUACAGAUGAUUCUAAAUUCCCUCUUUUUGGUAGUGAUGAAAGUGCUAAAAUUUGAUGGAAAACUAACGCCACGCUUGAACCGAAGAACGUAGUAUCAAUUGUGAAGCUCGGUGGCGGCAGCGUAAUGGUUUGGGGAGUUGUUGCGGCCUCUGGAGUUAGAAAUUCGGACUUUAUUGAAGGUGAAAUGGACGGUUAUAAGUAUAAGUCUCUGUUGCAACAUAAUUUGAAGCCUUUGGUGGAUAAUUUAGGGCUCGGUUCCGGUUGGAUAUUUCAACAAGAUAACGAUCCGAUGCAUGCGGCGCAAAUUGUCAAGGAUUGGUUGCAUUAUUAUACUCCAAAUGAAUUAAAUACACCACCUCAAAGUCCAAAUAUGAAUAUUAUUGAACAUGUAUGGGAGAUUUUGGAGCGUAGAAUUAGAAAACACCAAAUUUCUAGCUCUGCUCUACUCUAAGAGCGCAUAUUGGGACCUUGGAACAGCAUUACAUUUGCAGCGUUGACAAAUUUAGCAGAAUCAAUGCCACGGCGUCUUCAAGCAGUUAUAGAUACCAAUGGGGACCCAACUAAAUACUAAAACGUCUUAAUAACUAGCAUUUUUUACAGUUUUUCGCACUGAACUAAGAUAUUUUUGUACUGUAUGUAGACUUUUGUCAACACAAUAUUUGAGUUUUUAUUCCAUAAAUUUGUAGUUUUAUAUUAAUUAAUGGAUUUUUUAAGUUUGUUGUUAUUAGAAAGAAGAUUAGAAUAAAACUGUAUCAACACAUUUUUCUAAAAAGUUUUUGUACUCUCACAUCGAAGAAAACAGGGGGUGUAUGUAGACUUUUGUCCGCCACUGUAUUUUAUUGUAGAAAAGUAAUUUAGUCUAUUUCGCAGCCGGUUUAGAGGAACUGAAUACAACACGUCUUAUUUUCCAGAACAUUUAUUUGCGAAUGACAAAUGGUACAAAAGAAAUUCAUGAAUAUAACUGAGAGAGUUGGCUUCAGUUUCAAGUACAGUUAUAACAAAUAUUAUAUGUAGCUCUCUUUACAGUAGUGGCAAAUAUAUUUCAACACUCCGUCUCUAUAUAUAAUUAGGCAAUUCACAAGCUUUGUUGUAUGUCUUAUGUCAUAUUUUAAUAUUCUUAAAAAAUACGACACUUGUGAGCACCCUUAACUGUUGUAUGUCAUAUUUUGUCAUAUUUCUACACAUAAUCAGCUGAUAGUGAAAAAUUAAGAAGACAGAAAUGCCACAAGCAAUUCAGAAAAAUAAAAUUAUAGCUUCUUUAUGUGAAAAUCAUGCAUUGGCUCUAUUAGGAGUUGAAUCAAGUGAGUAUUCUCAUACAUUUCUUCAUUAAAUACAAAUAUUUAUACUUUGCCAGGUGACGAAGAAGACGAAGCUAUUGAAAGUUUUUUGAUCAGCAUGAGCUGUUUGCUGAGCAACAGAAGAAACGUUCAUUUCGGCUUACCAAAAUGUUCCAGUUGGCAGCGAAAUGUGCUAAGGAAUCUUGACGAAAGCAGAUUCAAUCAGAUGCUUCGUGUUCGCCCGGAGGAAUGCGAACGUAUCUUAGAAUUAAUUAAAAAUUACGCUGUUUUUAAGACAAGUUCAAGUUCUUCACAACUUCCAAUCGAACUGCAACUCAAAAUAGUGCUGUAUCGGUUGGGAUGUUCCGCCGAUGGACAAUCUGUUCGCAAGGUGGUUUUGGCAACUCUUCUCGUGUACAGCUGUGCUUUGUUUCGGGCUCUGGCGAAUUUGUUAAAUUUAUUUAAAACUUUAUUUGAAAAUAUCUGGAUUAAGCGAUCUUUUAAGAUAAGUAUCAGCGUUAUAUUGUGCUAUUGAAUCAAUUGAUAUUUACUUUAAUUGUGUGUUGGCUAAUUUUAAUUUAUUCCGCCGAGUCAUUUUAAAUUUGUUGUUGUGCUACAUUUUAAGCAGUGCAAUUGUUAGUGUUAAUUUACUUUGCUUACUUAAAUAUCUUUCUUGUUUUUAUUCGUUUCCAUCUUUGUCCACAGCUGUUCGCGAGUUUUUUUACUUUUCGCGUAUUACAGUGCAUCUCAAACUGCUCGCUACAUUGGUUGAUAACCAUCAAUUUUUAUUGCAUUCAUUUGUUAUAAAUAUUUUUGUCAUUGCUCGUUUUUCAUUUGUUAUUUAACAUUUUUAUAUUUCUAUUUAAUAUUUUUUUUCUUAUUCAUUAUGACUUGUAACUUUCCGAACUGCUCUGUAAAAGGUGAGUCGGAACGCUUUGUUUUUUGCUGGCUUUGUGAUGGGCUUGCCCAUCUUAAAUGUGCUGGACUGACAGGUACGAUAUUGAAUUCUAUUCUUGACAGUAAGGGAUUGCGCUGGUCUUGCUUAAAAUGCAGACCAACUGAAAUUGAAUUGUUUAAAGUUUUUAAGCAGGCGCGCAAUGGUUUCAAGGAGAUUGGUCAUGAGCUUGAAACCCUUACUGAAAAAUUUAGGCAUUAUGAAACGCUUUUUCAAUCAUUUAAAUGCCUAAAUAUUCAGGAAGAGAAUCAAAAACCUUCAUCAAAACGUAAACGCCCGUCUGAUGAAAAUACCACUGUAUCUUCCUUAAAACGAAUGCUCCCACCCACUAUUGGCCUUAUUAAUCUGUCAUCCCCUUGUCCUCAAGGAGAGAAGAUUCCGUCUGCUCAAGACACAGUGAAAACUGUUACUGAACACAGUAAGCGGAAAACUUCCCAAGAUCCGCCUGCAAAUACGUCCAAAUCAACUAAUAAAAACUUAGUGGUAAUACCGCGGAAAAAGGCAAUAUUUAUCUCGAGACUUGCUGCGAAUACCACAGUCGACGAUAUAAAAAGUUGCAUCUCGUCGAAAUUAAAAACGGAAGAUACAGACAUCCGUAAAUUUAACUUCAAAUACAACAGAGAUAUUAAAAAAUCAACGUAUCCGCUGACAGUUUUCGAUCGGUACUUGAUAAUUCAUUCUGGCCAUCUGGGGCCUUUGUGCGCGAAUUCGAGCACAAACGUGAUAAGCCCCCUGUAGUUAUCACCAAAUUGCCAAGAAAUUCCGUGAUUACAAAAAAUUAAUGAACAAUAAUUCGCUGAUUAUUUAUUAUCAAAAUGUUAGAGGUCUUAAUGCAAAACUUGCUGAUUAGUAUUUAAACAGCAUUCAUUGUAACCUUAAAAUCAUUGCUUCCACGGAAUCUUGGCUAAAGCCUCACAUUUUUGAUAAUGAAAUAUUCAUCAGCAAAUUCGAAAUCUUUAGAUAUGACCGGCUGGAUAGAAAAGGAGGUGGUGUCUUGUUUGCUGUUCAUUCUUCAAUUCCAUCUGAAGUCGAUGUUUCGCAUGCAGACUUCAUAGAAUUUAAGUGCAUUCGUAUUUGCGCUAAUAGUGGCCAUAUCUACUUAACUUUAUCUUACAUAGCGCCUCACUCGGACAUAUCUGUAUAUAUGCAGCAUGCUUCAUUAAUAAAUAAGGUUUCCUCAAUGGCUAAUAAUACUGAUUCCAUAAUUUUUUUGGGAGAUUUCAAUUUAUCGUGCGUAUCAUGAAAAUCUAUUGAUGAUUACACCAUUCCUAUUAGUACUCGCUUAUGUUUUAACGAGUUCUUAGAUGAAAUGUCGGAAUUGGGUCUUAACCAAAUUAAUUUAAUUUCAAACGAGUUUGGUAAGUUCUUAGAUCUAGUUUAUGUUGAUAACGCUUCAAUGUUCUCCGUUGUCCGAUGUGAUCCUUUGGUUCGGCCAGAGGACCCGCAUCAUCCUGCUUUGGAAAUUAACAUCGAAAUCAUAGCCAACUUUGUUCUUAACAAUACACAAGACCUUUGUUUUCGGUUCAACUUUGCGAAAGCUAAUUUUAAGAAGAUUAAUUACGAACUUUCUAAAGUAACUUGGCCAGAUUACAGUGGCAAUAUUGAAUUUAGUGCUUCCCACUUUAAUGAAACUAUUUUAAACUUAUUUGAAAAAUAUGUUCCGACGUGUGUUGUUCCUCAAAAAAGGAGUUCUAAUUUAUGGUUUUCGAAAGCAUUAUGUAAAUUAAAAAAUAGAAAAUCUCGUGCUUUUAAAGUUUUUAAAAAACUGGAUUAGUUGCUGACUAUUCAAAAUAUUCUAAAUUGCGUCGACAAUUUACUGAACUUAACAAAAUAUGUUAUAAUAAUUAUAUAAAUAAAGUAAAAAAUAAUAUUAUACGUAAUCCAAAAUUGUUCUAUGGUUUCGUCAACUCCAAACGCAGGAUUUCUAACUUUCCGUCCGCUAUGAAAUAUAAGUCUAGUAUGUCUAGUGACAAUCACACCAUUUCUAAUACGUUCGCUGAAUUCUUUAAGUCCAAUUACUCUCCAAAAUCUCCAAAAAUAUUCCGCAUCAGCACAAGUUAUGUCCGAUUUCUGUCAUUAAUGCGCCUACCAUUUCCGAAGCAGACGUCUUAUAUCAGUUGAACAUGUUAGAACAAUCAUACAAUUAUGGCCCAGAUAUGAUUCCCUCAUGCUUUCUUAAGAAAUGUGCCAAAUAUAUAUACCAACCCCUAACAAAACUAUUUAAUACAUCUCUUAUGCAAGGUUUAUUUCCAUCCAUAUGGAAGAAGUCAUUUAUAAUUCCUUUACAUACGAGGGAUGUCCGAUAAAUAACCGACCUCAACGUGAAGCUAGCGGCACAUCUGAAAAAAAAGUUUCUACUUCAAAUUGUGCAUAUUAUAAUAGCUACUCGCCAAAAUUUCAGAAAUUUAUCUUGCGCAAUUAUCUGUUGACAGUCGUUUUUGUGAGUCUAUUUCGGAGAUUUCACCAAAAUGGAAAAAAUUGAAUAUCGAGCUGUAAUUAAAUUUUUAUUUUUGAAAUGCAAUACGCCUUCACAAAUCAAAGAUGAGUUGGACUCUGUGUAUGGUGACUCUGCACCAUCGUUUACCACCGUAAAAUUCUGGGCAGCUGAAUUUAAACGUGGUCGCAGGAGCUUGGAAGAUGAUGAACGUCCUGGGCGUCCAAAAACUGUAACCACUAACGAUAACAUCGCUAAAGUUCAUCAAUUGGUACUAGACGACCGCCGGAUUAAAGUUAGGGAAAUAGCUGAGAUUAUGAAGAUGUCAAAAGAAACUGUUUGUCACAUAUUGAACCAAGAUUUGGGCAUGAGAAAGCUGUCCGCGCGUUGGGUGCCGCGUUUGCUUACGCUAGACCACAAACGUGCGCGCAUGAACAUUUCCAGCGCUCUGUUGGCUCAGUUUAGAGGCAAUAAAACCCGUUUUUGGCGCCGAUUGAUAACUGUAGACGAAACUUGGAUUCAUCAUUAUACGCCCGAAACAAAAAAACAAUCUAAA